rnacentral:rRNA from 1 species
GACGAACGCUGGCGGCGUGCCUAAUACAUGCAAGUCGAGCGAACCRAUAAGAAGCUUGCUUUUUGUUGGUUAGCGGCGGACGGGUGAGUAACACGUGGGUAACCUGCCUGUAAGAYCGGGAUAACUCCGGGAAACCGGUGCUAAUACCGGAUAGAUUAUCUUUCCRCCUGGAGAGAUAAGGAAAGAUGGCUUUUGCCAUCACUUACAGAUGGGCCCGCGGCGCAUUAGCUAGUUGGUGAGGUAACGGCUCACCAAGGCGACGAUGCGUAGCCGACCUGAGAGGGUGAUCGGCCACACUGGGNCUGAGACACGGCCCAGACUCCUACGGGAGGCAGCAGUAGGGAAUCUUCCGCAAUGGACGAAAGUCUGACGGAGCARCGCCGCGUGAGYGAAGAAGGUCUUCGGAUCGUAARGCUCUGUUGUUAG